UACGGAGGAGGCAAGAGUUAUCCGGCAUUAUUGGGCGUAAAGCGUCCGUAGGUGGUUGACCAAGUCUGCUGUCAAAGGGUGGGGCUUAACCUCAUAAAGGCAGUGGAAACUGGUGAGCUAGAGUGCGGUAGGGGUAAGGGGAAUUCCCAGUGUAGCGGUGAAAUGCGUAGAGAUUGGGAAGAACAUCGGUGGCGAAAGCGACUUGCUGGGCCUGCACUGACACUGAGGGACGAAAGCUAGGGGAGCGAAAGGG
rnacentral:rRNA from 1 species